GGCACCGAUUGCGGUUCAUACGGCGCUGGAUUAAGGAUUCAGAAGCCGUGGGUUCGAAUCCCACGCCUGUCA